rnacentral:rRNA from 1 species
AACGAACGCUGGCGGCAGGCCUAACACAUGCAAGUCGAGCGAAGCCUUCGGGCUUAGCGGCGGACGGGUGAGUAACGCGUGGGAACGUGCCCUUUGGUACGGAAUAGCCCCGGGAAACUGGGAGUAAUACCGUAUGUGGUCGAGAGACGAAAGAUUUAUCGCCAAAGGAUCGGCCCGCGUUGGAUUAGGUAGUUGGUGGGGUAAUGGCCUACCAAGCCGACGAUCCAUGGCUGGUUUGGGAGGAUGACCAGCCACACGGGGACUGGGACACGGCCCAGACUCCUAGUGGGGCAAGCAGUCGGGAAUCUUAGACAAGGGGGGAAACCCUGAUCUAGCCGUGCCGCGUGCUCGAUGAAGGCCUUAGGGUUGUAAAGAUCUUUCAGUGGGGAAGAUAAUGACUGUCCCCACAGAAGAAGCCCCGGCUAACCCCGUGCCAGCAGCCGCCGCCG